UCUCCCGCCCUGGGGGCCGCCUCCUGAGACGCGCGGUGGCCGAGGGAAGCUGGGGGGGCCGGGGGGGUCCCGAAGGAAGCCUGGGAGCCUGGUUGCUGGCUCCUCCCCAGAAUCUGACCCGCGCUGUGGGAGCAGGUGACCGGGGCCGGGCCUUGUCUCCGUCUGUGCGCGCGGCCUGAACGGGCGCUUGGUUCAUCCCACUUUCCUCGCCCGAGGUGCUCCCGCAGCCAGCUUUAACUCUGCUUAUCCUAGCGCGUGACCUUGAAGACAGUGACCUGAGGCUCGGUUUCUUCAUCUGUACCGUGGGGGCAAGGAGAGCGCACCUGGCCUGUGAAAAGUGCUGUAAAUGGCAGCCUGCGCCUGUGUGGCUUUGUUAGCAAGACAGUCAAUGGAAAGGAGGCCCUGUCCGUAGGGUGACGGCGAGGUGCCCCUCUCAGCACCCAGGGAAUGGUAUGCCGGCCCUCCACCCCAGCCUCACCAACAUCGCGCAGUGCCUGACCCUCGGCCAGCAGCAGCCCUGUGCCCUCUUCUCUCUGGCGCUGUGAGUGUGCCCAGGGGGCCCAGCCAUUACGGAGGCAGCUGCUCCUUUCUGCUGCUGGGCAGAUCCCGAGUGACCUUGGGUUAAUCAAGGCAGGGACGCUGCGACACUGGCCAGCCAGGCCACCCAGGACCACCUCUUGGACAUAGAUCCCCCAUUCCUACCCUGUCCCUCGUCCACACCUGCCUUCCUCCCACCCCAGAGACAGGAGAAUGCGUGGCCACCUCCGCUGAAGAAUGCUGGACCCCCAAGAGAAGGCCUUCGGAACAGGUGGUGAAACCGGUAGCAGCUUCUUAUUUCUUGAAGGCUCCAGUAGAGGUAGAGGGUCGGGAACGAGCAGAGGGAACGUGGCAGUGGCCAGCAGGCCUGAGUAGGGGCAACAGGCGCGAUUACCACACAGGAUUGUUGGGCAAGAGGGUUCCAGGAAGGCUGGGCCAUCUGGGGGCCUGCAGGAGCUCGGGAAGGAUUUCCACACCCUGGGUAGGACUUGUGCAGAGGGUCGAGGAGCCAGGUACCCACUGGCUGCCUGCACAGCUGGAAGUGGGCAGGAGGGUCUGGGCAGGGACCAGCCAAACCGGACUGGGUGGUGCCAGGACUCUUGGUAAGAGCCCUUCCCGUGCUCUGUAACCCUAGGCGCACCAUGCACCUACACAGCUGCGUAAACCCCGGGCCAAGGGAGACACAGGUGGGAGAAGGCAGGUGCCUGGAGACAGAUGCGCGGAGGGGACCUUCCCCAGAUCCUUGUGCAGCCGUCACAAGGGUGACCUUGAGGUACCUUGAAGGCAGCUUUAAAAAUAUCCCAAAGCCAGUCCUUUGAACCAGCUUAUUAAGAAAACGUGUGUGUUCACCUUCUUGUUGGUGGGGUGGAGUCUGAGGAGUGAUGGGAAUGAGCCUCGGGUGUCACAACUGUUUCCUCGACAGCGUUUCCGCUCCCACACAUCACUGAGGUGUUUCUGCUUCCCUGCCGUCCUCCCUCACCUUCUGGAUCAUUGCUCUGCUCUCUUUCCAUCGCGCAGACAACUUGGUCUCACCCAGGUGUGAGCGUGUUGCCCCCCGAACCAAAAAUCGAAAACCUCACUCCCUUGGAUCAUUGGCUUCAGCGCAGUUGCCCGCCUGAAGCUUUUCUCAUUUCAGACGCUUCAGGCCACACCGCCAGGGGCCGGGGGUGCCCAGAACUCUCCGAAGGAAGCCAGAGGAAGGCGCGAUGCCCCGCACGGGCCCUGUCACCUGAGCCGUGCCAGUCCAGGAGCGCCCAGAGCUCUCCCUGCGAGCAGAUUUUGUUUGUCUUCCUAAGUUGCGGGGUAGGCAGAAGUCAGGGUAACGGGCUGCCUCACAGACGUGGAAAGUGAGACCCAGGGUGACGAAGGACUCACAGGAGAUGUCUGUGGAGUUUCUGUUUUCAGGCAGUGCUCCCUAAGUCAGUUCCACUUGUUCAGUCUUUGCUUUUCGCGGGGGGUGGGGAGGGGGAGAACAGGUGCCGUGGGUUUUCCUUCCCACAAGUCGAUCUUUCCCUCCCCAAGCUCAGCACUCUUUUAUUUUCUUAAGGUUGGCUUCGUAAAGUCUACGUGAAGUGGCUGUGUGUUGUUCUGUUGCUGCCGUAACAAUCUGCCACCAUUUGGCGGCUUAAACAACACAAACAUAUUAUUUUACAGCCCUGUGGGUCCGAAGCCCCACGUGGGUCUCCAUGGGCCGCGUUCCUUCCUAGGGAAGCCCUUCUCUUGCUCAGUUGGGUGUUGGCAGGAUUUAGCUACUUGUGGUUUGGGACUGAGAUCUAGUCCCUGUCUCCUUGCUGGCUGUCAGCAGAGGGCCCUUCCCAGCUUCCGGGGCCACUGCAUUGCCUGGCUUGUGUCCCCCAACCUCCAUCGUCAAAGCCAGCAACAGAAGGCCACGUGCUUUGAAUCUCUCCUUUCUUUUCAGGUUCAUCUCUCAGCCCCAGCCGGGGAAGGGCCUCUGCUUUUAAGGACGCUGGUGAUUAGAGGGGCACAUGGCAUAAUCCAGGAUAAUCCCCCCAUGUCAGAUCCAUACCUUUAGUCACACCUGCAAAGUCCGGUUUGCCAGGUAAGGUGACAUACAGGUUCCGGAUAUUAAAGCCUGGACAUCUUUAGAGAUUCACUAUUCUACCCACCACAGGUUAUAAGUGUGCAGAUUCUCAAGCCCUCUGGAUUGUCCAGGACCUUUAUCACAUGGUUUUUUACUAGCAGCUUUACUGAGAUACAAUGCCGCUCACCCUUUUAAAGCGUACAAGUCAUUGGUUUCCAGCAUCGUCACAGAGCUGUGCAGCCAUCACCACAGUCAGUGUGGUACAUUUUUUAUCACCCCAGCGAUGAACCCUGUCCGCAUUAGCAGUCACUCCCCACUUCCCCCAAAGCCACGGAUCUGCUCUCUGGAUUUGCCUCUUCUGGAAUUUUCAGAUAAAUGGAAUCAUACAAUGUG